GCCAGCGUGGUGCAGUGGUAGCACGCUAGUUGUUCCAGGGAGUACUCCUCUAAAAGAGAUUGAAAUUGAGGGUCACACUGUGAUAGAGACAUUGGUUCGAGUCCAAUCGCUGGCA